rnacentral:tRNA from 1 species
UGGCAAGGCUGGCUAGAGCAUCCCGAUGAAAUCGGGAAGGUCGGUAGUUCAACUCUACCCAGGCCCACCA